AAAAAAAAAAAACCCCUCCAAACAAGAAACAGAAAGAAUUUGUAGAAUAACUAUUCCAAAAGGAAAAAAAAUAUUCAUUAGUUUUGGACGAUGCUGCGCAAAAGGUACCAGUCCAUUUGUUUUUCAUUUGUAAAGAUGGAGUGAUCCAUCAACCAUUUCGCUAAGAAAGAUGAAAAGGUGUAUUUCACACCCUUUUUUUCCGUGGCAUACUAAGUACUUUCUUUGCUGAUAGGAGCAUAUGGAAUGGACUAAUGUGCUUAAAUGCUGCGGUAUCAGGCAGGUUGUAUGUAGCAGCUAUGCAUUUUCAGAACCCUUGUAAUGGUUGCAAUGGGAGUUUUAUAUUUAGAUAACAAUGCUGAUAGGACAUAGGAAGUCACUUGGGUAUGAUUUAAAAGACAGGCAUGAAGAUGAAGAUAGAGAGGUAAA
rnacentral:lncRNA from 1 species